rnacentral:rRNA from 1 species
UACGUAGGGGGCAAGCGUUGUCCGGAUUUAUUGGGCGUAAAGAGCGUGUAGGCGGCUUUACAGGUCCGUUGUGAAAACUCGAGGCUCAACCUCGAGACGCCGGUGGAAACCGUAAGGCUAGAGUCCGGAAGAGGAGAGUGGAAUUCCUGGUGUAGCGGUGAAAUGCGUAGAUAUCUGGAGGAAUACCGGUGGCGAAGGCGGCAUCCUGGACCGACAUUGACGCUGAGGAGCGAAAGCCAGGGGAGCAAACGGG